rnacentral:rRNA from 1 species
UAGAUGCGAGAGUAGAGCAUAUCAAUAGCGGAGGAAAAGAAACUAACAUGGAUUCCCCUAGUAACGGCGAGUGAAGCGGGAAGAGCUCAAAUUUGAAAUCUUAAAGGGUUUCCCUUUACGAAUUGUAGUUUAAAGAAGUGUUUUCUGUUGGAGUUUCGGUAAAAGUUCUUUGGAAUAGGACAUCAUAGAGGGUGAGAAUCCCGUAUUUGACCGUUACUUUCCAGCUGUGUGAUACACUUUCAAAGAGUCGGAUUGUUUGGGAAUGCAGUCCAAGAUGGGUGGUAAAUUUCAUCUAAAGCUAAAUAUUGGCGAGAGACCGAUAGCGAACAAGUACCGUGAGGGAAAGAUGAAAAGAACUUUGAAAAGAGAGUUAAACAGUACGUGAAAUUGUCAAAAGGGAAGCGUUUGACACCAGUGUUGUUUUUCCGAAAAUCAAUUAAAAAUUGAUUCAUGCCAGGUUGUAUUGACCUUAUCAGCUUGCAAUUUGGUUUUGGGUCUCUUUUUGAUGCACUUUUCGGUUAACAAGUCAACAUCAAUUUCCUUUGUUGUAAAAAGGGUAAGAGGAAGGUGGCUUGCGCUUCGGCUCAAGUGUUUAUAGCCUUUUACCUCUGCAAUCGGAGAGAUUGAGGUCUGCAGCGUAGACUCUUCGGGGUUAGAUACAUUUAUGCUAAGCUAUAGCCUUGUAUAGACAACUUGUUGACUAUGCUCAGUCAUGUAGCUUACUCGUAGAUGCUAUUUUACCUACGCUUAGGAUGUUGACACACGCGCGUGCUCG